AGAGUUUGAUCAUGGCUCAGAACGAACGCUGGCGGCGUACUUAACACAUGCAAGUCGGACGAGAAAGGAGACUUCGGUCUCUGAGCACAGUGGCGCACGGGUGCGUAACACGUAAGCAAUCUACCCCGAACCCCGGGAUAACCCUCCGAAAGGAGGGCUAAUACUGGAUAGGGUCCCCGAGGUGUAGGCCGCGGGGGGAAAACGGGCCUCUGUUCCAUGCUCGUGGUUUGGGAUGAGCUUGCGGCCCAUUAGCUAGUUGGUAAGGUAAUGGCCUACCAAGGCAACGAUGGGUAGCUGGUCUGAGAGGAUGAUCAGCCACACUGGCACUGAGACACGGGCCAGACUCCUACGGGAGGCAGCAGUGGGGAAUUUUGCGCAAUGGGCGAAAGCCUGACGCAGUAACGCCGCGUGGAGGAUGAAGGCCUUCGGGUUGUAAACUCCUGUCAGGAGGAACGACGGAGGAAGGGUGAUAAACUCUUCCCUCCAGACGGUACCUCCAAAGGAAGCCCCGGCUAAUUCCGUGCCAGCAGCCGCGGUAAUACGGAAGGGGCAAGCGUUGUUCGGAAUCAUUGGGCGUAAAGGGCGCGUAGGUGGUUCUGUAUGUCUACGUGAAAGCGUACGGCUCAACCGUAUUUUGUCGGUGGAAACUGCAGGACUUGAGGCUGGGAGGGGCUGGUGGAAUUCCCUGUGUAGCGGUGAAAUGCGUAGAGAUGGGGGAGAACACUCGUGGCGAAGGCGGCCAGCUAGACCAGUUCUGACACUGAGGCGCGACAGCGUGGGGAGCAAACAGGAUUAGAUACCCUAGUAGUCC
rnacentral:rRNA from 1 species